UCCUUCCUCGCCACUCCAGUGUCUGUCUUUCCUUCACAGCCCGGCUUCUCGAGGCCUGUCUACACUCGCUGCUUUCCUUCCUCACCUCCAAUUUCCCCUCCAACCCACUGCUUCCUGACUCGCUCUUCUCCAUCGAACGGCUCUCGCUCAGGCCUGUCGCGUCUUCCUGUGCCAUUUGCCGUUGUACUCAGGUUCCACGAGCUGCCCAUCUCCACAGAAGAGCAGCUGGCAUUGCCCUCCGGCCAUGCUGGCUGAAGAAAAGAAGACUGAGGACCCCAGGACGUCCAGCGCGAGGACCCCAGGAAGCUCAGCGCGAGGACCCCAGGAAGCUCAGCGCGAGGACCCCACCCACAAUGCCCAGCGCGAGGACCUCACGCACAACACGUUGCAACCCUUCUGGAUUAGGCCAAAGCCAUCAUCUGGAAUCCUGCGUGGGACCCUGGACACACGGACACAGACACCUGCCCCUGGGACCCUCCAACUGUAAAUUCUUCCACAGCCACAGGGACGCCUUGCACAUUUCCUGUGGGAUAUACUGGACCCAAGACUCUGGACCCUGGCCUCCCCUUGAGUAGAGAGACCCACCUACUGACUGAACUGUGCUGACCCUGGGGUCAGGCAUGUGGCCUUGAUCCCUGUCUAUGGACCCUGAGACUUGGGGGGGGGGGGAAGGCUGUUGAGUCUUCACUGUUGAGUCCACAUCUGUGAAAUGGGCUCAGGUUCCUACCUCACAGGGCUGUUGUGAGGCAGCUGCAAUGUGCUUAGAAGCAUGGGGCCUGGUGGCUCAUGGUGCUUUCAAUAAAUGUUUUUUGUCUU
rnacentral:lncRNA from 1 species